rnacentral:lncRNA from 1 species
GAAGAAUGCAGGAACCGGAACAAUCAAGCACUGGAGGUGACUCUACGAUCUGAGACAAUGUGUACUUUUUGGAAGGACCUUUACAGCAUAUAAUCAUGGGUGACAGUAGGGAAAGAAGAUACUACCAUUGCUUAGCCAUCCCACCAACUCAUUCCAUUGUAUCUGUACACACAGCUCAACAGGCAAAACCCUCUCUGGCAAUGUCAUUCUUCCUGGCAAAGCAGGCGUGA